UGGAGGUGCCGGGGAUUGAACCCGGGGCCUCGUACAUGCGAAGCACGCGCUCUACCACUGAGCUACACCCCC
rnacentral:tRNA from 1 species